AGAAUUCUGAGAUGUACGAAUUGUUCAAUAAAUGUGCUGACCGAACAAAUAGUACGACCUCGGGAUCCAAACUGAUUCAAAUGGAUAACAAGCCUUUACCUUUGGUAGUUAGAUAUUUGACAGCGGAGCCCACCUGCAUGUAUGCGGGAUCAACACUACCUGAACGCGAAAACGGCAUCACCGGAUUUCUU
rnacentral:other from 1 species